rnacentral:rRNA from 1 species
AGAGUUUGAUCCUGGCUCAGAUUGAACGCUGGCGGCAUGCCUAACACAUGCAAGUCGAACGGCAGCAUGAGGUGUAGCAAUACACCUUGAUGGCGAGUGGCGGACGGGUGAGGAAUGCAUCGGAAUCUGCCCAAUCGUGGGGGACAACGCAGGGAAACUUGCGCUAAUACCGCAUACGACCUUCGGGUGAAAGCGGGGGACCUUCGGGCCUCGCGCGGUUGGACGGACCGAUGUGCGAUUAGCUAGUUGGUAGGGUAAUGGCCUACCAAGGCGACGAUCGCUAGCUGGUCUGAGAGGAUGAUCAGCCACACUGGGACUGAGACACGGCCCAGACUCCUACGGGAGGCAGCAGUGGGGAAUAUUGGACAAUGGGCGCAAGCCUGAUCCAGCAAUGCCGCGUGUGUGAAGAAGGCCUUCGGGUUGUAAAGCACUUUUAUCAGGAACGAAAUACCACGGGUUAAUAACCUAUGGGGCUGACGGUACCUGAGGAAUAAGCACCGGCUAACUUCGUGCCAGCCGCCGCGGUAAUAC